rnacentral:rRNA from 1 species
CAGUAGCCGCGGUAAUACGAAGGGUGCAAGCGUUACUCGGAAUUACUGGGCGUAAAGCGUGCGUAGGUGGUGGUUUAAGUCCGUUGUGAAAGCCCUGGGCUCAACCUGGGAAUUGCAGUGGAUACUGGGUCACUAGAGUGUGGUAGAGGAUAGUGGAAUUUCCGGUGUAGUAGUGAAAUGCGUAGAGAUCGGAAGGAACAUCUGUGGCGAAGGCGACUAUCUGGGCCAACACUGACACUGAGGCACGAAAGCGUGGGGAGCAAACAGGAUUAGAGACCCGUGUAGUCCCUGUCUCUUAUAC